rnacentral:rRNA from 2 species
UUGGAGGGCAAGUCUGGUGCCAGCAGCCGCGGUAAUUCCAGCUCCAAUAGCGUAUAUUAAAGUUGUUGCAGUUAAAAAGCUCGUAGUUGAAUUUCGGGAUCAAUAUGUUGGUCGUGCCUUGGUACGUACUGGCAUUAUCGAUUCCUACCUUCUGAAGAACCUCGAUGUCAUUAAUUUGGUGUCUUGGGGAAUCAGGACUGUUACUUUGAAAAAAUUAGAGUGUUUAAAGCAGGCUCGCGCUUGAAUACAUUAGCAUGGAAUAAUGAAAUAGGACGUUUGAUUCUAUUUUGUUGGUUUCUAGGAUCGACGUAAUGAUUAAUAGGGAUAGUUGGGGGCAUUAGUAUUCAAUUGUCAGAGGUGAAAUUCUUGGAUUUAUUGAAGACUAACUACUGCGAAAGCAUUUGCCAAGGAUGUUUUCAUUAAUCAAGAACGAAAGUUAGGGGAUCGAAGACGAUCAGAUACCGUCGUAGUCUUAACCAUAAACUAUGCCGACUAGGGAUCGGAUGAUGUUAAUUUUUUAAUGACUCAUUCGGCGCCUUACGGGAAAC